UACGUAGGUGGCAAGCGUUGUCCGGAUUUACUGGGCGUAAAGGAUGCGUAGGCGGAUAUUUAAGUGAGAUGUGAAAUUCCCGGGCUUAACUUGGGAGCUGCAUUUCAAACUGGGUAUCUAGAGUGCGGGAGAGGAAAGUGGAAUUCCUAGUGUAGCGGUGAAAUGCGUAGAGAUUAGGAAGAACACCAGUGGCGAAGGCGACUUUCUGGACCGUAACUGACGCUGAGGCAUGAAAGCGUGGGGAGCAAACAGG
rnacentral:rRNA from 1 species